CUCGCGUCUGUUUACCCUGCUGGACUCAGUGGGCUUCCUCAGCAGGCUCAUGGGCAGAGGCUUUGUCUGUCUGUCAGGAAUCUCCACACUGAGAGGGCAUCUUACUCACGUGGUGUACACUGUGUUCAGCCAGGCCCUCUAAGAAACAGACACCAAGAUGAGGAAACCGAUGCAAGACAUCAAGCAGCUUCUGAGGUCGCGUGUUUGGAAGCCCAGCCCUCAAAGUGGAUGAACUUGCCCUAGGAGGAAGUUAAGCACCGUUGUCAUCAACACGGCCAUCAAUACCAUCAAAAGACAUUUAUUAAGCACCUAAUUGUGCAUAGCUCUGACUUCGACUGUGAACAGAGAAUCAGAUGCCUUGGUGAGUACAGUGUUGGUUCAGUAACAUUGCCAUCUUGGCCACCAGUCCUGUGGCUCAGGCCUGAAUGAAGCUCAUCUAACACACACACUGUCUGUGUGAGGCACGUCUCAGUCUUCUUGAGCUUAGGAACACUGGACAGCACUCAGCCCCACACUUUCGGGCCAUUGAACAGCAAAAUCAUCAACAACAAGCACAAAAAUUGAAAAAGCAUGCAAUUAAAGAGACCACAGAAGAGACACUUGCUCACAGCCAGAGAGCUGAACCAAGAAGGCAGAACGUCACGUCGGCUGCCUCAGCCAGACAAGUGUGCUCAGAAACUGUGCACGUCCCCGAGUACACUAGAAAGCUCUCUGAAUGUUGAUUUGGGGGUUACAAAUAAAUUUCACUGGUUAGGAGAAUUUACAAAUAUGGAAUCUACAAAUAAUGAGGAUCGACUCUAUUUUGGUUUUGGAAG
rnacentral:lncRNA from 1 species